rnacentral:misc_RNA from 1 species
AGAAAUCAAUUUAUAGUGUGGAAGGCUAUAAACUUUUAUGUCAUGCAUAAAUGCAAAUGGAAGCCUACAUGUGUAUGUGCAUGCAAAUUUAUAUUAGUGAAAUCAAAUCUAAUAGUUGAAAUAGAUCUAAUCAACAUAUUUCCAAAUUUUCCUCUUAAACUAAGCAAGUUAUUUUGGUGUAGUCCCCUAAGAAUAAUUUAGUGCAAUCAAGCACUAAACAAUAAAGGAUGAAAUAAUUAAUACCUCAUGAUCACAAAACAACUAUUAAUACAAAACCAAAUCUUAGAUGGCAUAAUCUUGAGCAAUUGGUCAUAUAAGGUGAAAGGUGUUCUAUUUAUGUUGACAUAAGUGCUUACACAACCUCAAUCCAAUUUGUAAUUGUAGUUAAUCCUUCUAAUUUUGCCAAUUACAUGCAGCAUUUUACAUUGUUAUCAAUUUAGCCAAACAUAAAAGGGCAUAUGCUAAAAUUCUCAAAUUGCAACUUAGCAUAAAAUUUAUUACAAAUUGCCAACCUGGCAUAUAUUUUAUUAAAGAAAUUCAUGUUAGCAUCAAAUGUGGUAAGUGUCAAAACUUACCAAAAGUUAUUAAUACUAUUUCUCA